CGUAGGUGGCAAGCGUUGUCCGGAUUAUUGGGCGUAAAGCGAGUGCAGGCGGCUCGAUAAGUCUGAUGUGAAGCCUUCGGCUCAACCGGAGAAUUGCAUCAGAAACUGUCGAGCUUGAGUACAGAAGAGGAGAGUGGAACUCCAUGUGUAGCGGUGAAAUGCGUAGAUAUAUGGAAGAACACCGGUGGCGAAGGCGGCUCUCUGGUCUGUUACUGACGCUGAGGCUCGAAAGCAUGGGUAGCGAACAGGAUU
rnacentral:rRNA from 1 species